rnacentral:rRNA from 1 species
UACGUAGGGUGCAAGCGUUGUUCGGAAUCAUUGGGCGUAAAGCGUACGUAGGCGGGUCGGUAAGUCAAGUGUGAAAUCCCUGAGCUUAACUCGGGAAUUGCAUUCGAUACUGCCGAUCUUGAAUGCUUGAGAGGGUGGUGGAAUUCCAGGUGUAGAAGUGAAAUUCGUAGAUAUCUGGAGGAACAUCCGAGGCGAAGGCGGCCACCUGGCAAGACAUUGACGCUGAGGUACGAAAGCGUGGGGAUCAAACAGGAUUAGAUACCCUGGUAGUCCACGCCGUAAACGAUGGAUACUAGAUGUUCGGAGAGUUAACCCUCUGAGUAUCGAAGCUCACGCAUUAAGUAUCCCGCCUGGGGAGUACGGUCGCAAGGCUA